rnacentral:tRNA from 1 species
GGAGAGAUGGCUCAGUGGUUAAGAGCACUGAUACCUCUUCCAAAGAACCUAGGUUCAAUUCCCAGUACCCCCA